rnacentral:rRNA from 1 species
GACGAACGCUGGCGGCGUGCCUAACACAUGCAAGUCGAGCGGAGUCAGUAAGAGGAAGUUUUCGGAUGGAAUCUUAUUGAUUUAGCGGCGGACGGGUGAGUAACGCGUGAGCGACCAACCUUGCACAGGGGGAUAACGGACCGAAAGGUUCACUAAUACCGCAUGAGACCACGGUGUUGCAUGACACAGUGGUCAAAGGAGCAAUCCGGUGCAAGACGGGCUCGCGUCCGAUUAGGUAGUUGGAGGGGUAACGGCCCACCAAGCCUAUGAUCGGUAGCCGGCCUGAGAGGGUGAGCGGCCACAUUGGAACUGAGAUACGGUCCAAACUCCUACGGGAGGCAGCAGUGGGGAAUAUUGGGCAAGGGGGGAAACCCUGACCCAGCAACGCCGCGUGAAGGAAGAAGGUUUUCGGAUUGUAAACUUCUGUCCUUGGUGAAGAGAAGAAGACGGUAGCCAAGGAGGAAGCCCCGGCUAACUACGUGCCAGCCGCCGCGGUAA